CAGGUCUCAUGGAAGGAAUCAUGUGAUCAGAAACAGAUGAGGCUCAAGGUACCUACCUCACCGUAAGGCAAACUCCACUAGCUGGGACGUCAGAGAUGCUAUCCUUGUUUGUGGGACAGAUGGACAGACAGACAGACAAUCCCUUCCCCGAAGGCAGGAACAGGUAACAAGGAGCUGCAGGUCCUCAGUAAGCCAGAGCCCAGCAUCCAACCCCAUGGGAUCUGAAGGCUGAGGAAUGUUCGACUCCUCACCCAUUUGGGCUCCCAAAGCUCUUACGGGCAAGUGUCUCAUGUCAGAGGCAUUCCCGGGCUGGCCUUGCAUACUGAUGGAUCUGUAGGUCCGGGGUCCUUGAGUGGGGGUGAGGUCUACCCGUAGCUUCCCUAAGCAUUGCCCCAGUGGGUCUUAUGCAGGACCCUUCCCUAGACCCAAGGACUCCGUGAUCUCCAAGUGGAAGUAGUCCCGCCUACUCCUUGAUGCCUGCAAACCUAAGUUGGCCCCUCCUGGACAAUGCUGACACUCCAUACUCGAGCCCCCCCACGAGGAGCCUGCAGCUGAUCCCGUGUGGACACAUCAAGGGGCUGUGGCCAUCAGAGCUGUCUCCUACCUAGUGAGUGUGGUAGGUGUGGGAGCCACCUUGCACACACCUGGAGCUGUUUGGACAUCCUUAUCUGCAGAGAGCCUGGCUCCCUCAGACUCCCCUGUAGCUGCUUAAACAUCCCUGAAGUCAAACCACCAUAGACUUCUCCAAGAGUUUGGGGACCCUAGGUCUGGACCCUGUCCCUGGACACAAGCUUCUGGGGUGGAGGAAUAGGGUCAUCUCCUGAAGUGGGAAGAGACACAAGGUACCGUAGAGAUAAAACUGUCCCACACAGCUACACUGGCUGAGGGAUCACCCCUAUAGCCAGUCAGCUCCAUACCUUUCCCUCUGUCCUUUGUAGGGGACGUCCAAUCCCGGCCCUGUACCCCGUGAGGCAGGAUGCUGGGGGCUGAACCCAUGCCAGCUGCUGAGUGGACAGCAGCUGAUCCACCUUGGCCAGGCCCCAGGAUGAGAGACAUCCGGGGAAUGUUCCAAGAACAGAAAGAAAAGCCAUCAGCCUCAAGAGUCCCACUUUCGCCACACGCCUGCCUCCUCUGAUUGAAGCCACAACUUGUUUCCAUCCGGACUGGCCAGGGGCCACCUUAUACUAGCACCCAGAGCCCAUCCCCAGGGCUGAUGAGAAGGUGACAGUUCUCGGUGCUGCUGGGGUCACUACACAGUGGUAUGAAGUCUGGAUUCCAGCCCGUUUGGCUAACAGGGCCUGGUUGUUUUGCACAUUUGCUGCCCACUCCCUUGAGUUCACAGCUUAACUGUUGCAGCAGGAAGCCUGGGAAGGCACACAGACAUGGCCACCAUACGGAAGUCCCUGCUCUGCCCGGACCCUUGGCAUGCUGCUCUAAGCUUGGUGUGCACUGGUCCAGCAUCAGCAGACGACAUUAAGUUGGAUCAUGUGGAGCAAGAGUGGCGUCUGAGCCAACCCCUGCUGGGUUCCGGACUACAGACAAGCUCAAAACCAGGUGGACAGCUCACCUCGGUGACUGGUGCCUUCGGAACCUCACCCAGCCACUGCCAACACUUGUGUCAGUCCUGUGGCUCCUACAGAGGGCUCCACAGCAUCUGCCCAGAGACCACAGACCACAGACCACGGUCUGUUUCAUGUUCAGCUCUAUGAAACUGGGAAGUUGUCACUUAGAUGGCUCUGAGACCCAAGCCGGACAGAUGCAGAGCCCAGCCCUUCCGGGUCCCCAGCCAGGCCUGCAUUCUGAGUUGGCUACAGUCUGUGUAGGUUUGAGCGUUGGCUCCGGAACUCUGUGUUUCCCUGUUUGUCAAUGUUUUUGGGUCCCAGAUAGGGGGUUUCAGGCUUCUUGUAAAGUCUGUCCCCUCCCCUGUUCCUGGAUCUUUCAGAGAGAGAGAGAGAGAGAGAGAGAGAGAGAGAGAGAGAGAGAGAGAACUCAGCAAUGCUGCUUAAAGCUUUGUUGUCUUUGCAGAACCUGCAGCCUUCAGCUAUGGAGCCCCCAGGUUGCGUGCAACUGUGACCCUGUAAUAAAACCAGAGGUUUCUCAUGAAUCAGAAAAGCUCCAUGAAUGCCUCAUUCCUAGGAAGCCUGGCGUCCACCCACCCUGCCUGCAUCUCCCUACAUUGCCAUCAAGGGGAAGAAGACUGUCCUUGAGCCCAGUCCUGCAAACACAGCAAGCAGCUUGUUUAAAUAAGGCACAUUACGCACUUUGUGACAUUUGCCAAUGUUUGGGUCCCAGAUAGGCCUGUGGAGUGGAUUCUCACAGCCCCGAGCAACUCCAAUCUUCCUCAGGAAAAUGGGUUCCACAUAUCAGCUCCUGGAGAGUACCCACAGGAAGGCUAGAUUUCCUCUGUGGGGAAUGCUGUCCCGUGUCUUGCUCUAGCUGGGGAGAAGACCCCUAGGAUAAGAGGUAACCCCAAGUGCAGGGGAACCCCUAGAUCCACGGGCUUAACUGUUAACAUUAGUCCAACCCUUCAGGGUCUACCCCGAAGCACAAAUCUGCAUUCCAUGCUGCACCUUGGCAAGCCCCCGGACCCCCACUUCUAAGUGAACCCCAUGCCUGGUCACAUCUCAGGCAUUUGAUGGCUUAGUUCCACGGGCACUCCUCAAGCUGUGCCAUCUCUGAGGGCUCCCUUUGCAGAUAGUCUCAAGCUCCUUUGAGAAACCCUUUUGAAUAUGGCCUUUAGCCAUAGAUACAAAAACCGGAACUCCCUGCCCGGCUGGUGACUCACCAAGCAUUUACCUCCCAGCACAUUUCCAGAGACAAAGCCAGGAUUUUAUGACCAUGGGAUUAUGAUGAGCGAGAGGUUGGAAUUCCACAAGAAAGCCCCAAACUUCAGCACGUGAAUCCUGGUAACUGACUGGGUAAACAGAAAGGCCCUAUUUGGGACAUGCACGUCUGUGCCCCAAGACACCAGUUCCCAGUGUCUGGACUCUCGGUCUGCCGCCAGCCUACUGCUCCCACCAUCUGCUCCCUUUGGUGGCUGGGGAAGCUUCCUUGCCUCUACGGGCAGCGGUUCAACCCUUGACCUACUUCAUAACUGUGGUGUGGUCUCCAAUGAAGUUCCUACGAUACUUUCCCAUCCUCAGCCCUUACCUUCCUAUGGUCGGCCCGUGGUGGCUACCAGUUUGCCCCUAAUGUAUACCUCUCAACCCUUUCUAUUGGCCCCGCUGGGUGCCUAUGCAUGUGGCUUCCACAUUGUAACAUGACAGCAUAGCUGUCCCCAAGCAUGGCAGGGAGCCAGAUCCUUUCUGGGCCCCUCCCUACUUGUUCCCUGACUGAAGAGUCCCACAUUCCCACCCCCAUCCCUAUAUUACGGAGCCCCAGCUUCCAAGGGGGUCUGCCUGUUUCAAAGGAGAACCUCGUUGCUGUUUGGGCCAGGGACCUAUGCCCCGGCCUCAGGACACUGUUCUCUCUGGGAAUGGAGUACUUGUGCUGACACUUCUGAUACCUGAUGACAGAAAAAGCCUUGAGUGCUAGUAUGUGUGUGUCUGCUGUUUGUCUAUCUGUCUCUUUCUGUGUGUGUCUAUCUCUGUCU
rnacentral:sRNA from 1 species